GACGAACGCUGGCGGCGUGCUUAACACGUGCAAGUCGAACGGAAAGGCCCUGCUUUUGUGGGGUGCUCGAGUGGCGAACGGGUGAGUAACACGUGAGUAACCUGCCCUUGACUUUGGGAUAACUUCAGGAAACUGGGGCUAAUACCGGAUAGGAGCUCCUGCUGCAUGGUGGGGGUUGGAAAGUUUCGGCGGUUGGGGAUGGACUCGCGGCUUAUCAGCUUGUUGGUGGGGUAGUGGCUUACCAAGGCUUUGACGGGUAGCCGGCCUGAGAGGGUGACCGGCCACAUUGGGACUGAGAUACGGCCCAGACUCCUACGGGAGGCAGCAGUGGGAAAUAUUGCACAAUGGGCGGAAGCCUGAUGCAGCAACGCCGCGUGCGGGAUGACGGCCUUCGGGUUGUAAACCGCUUUCGCCUGUGACGAAGCGUGAGUGACGGUAAUGGGUAAAGAAGCACCGGCUAACUACGUG
rnacentral:rRNA from 1 species